GACGAACGCUGGCGGCGUGCUUAACACAUGCAAGUCGAACGGAAAGGCCCUGCUUUUGUGGGGUGCUCGAGUGGCGAACGGGUGAGUAACACGUGAGUAACCUGCCCUUGACUUUGGGAUAACUUCAGGAAACUGGGGCUAAUACCGGAUAGGAGCUCCUGCUGCAUGGUGGGGGUUGGAAAGUUUCGGCGGUUGGGGCUGGACUCGCGGCUUAUCAGCUUGUUGGUGGGGUAGUGGCUUACCAAGGCUUUGACGGGUAGCCGGCCUGAGAGGGUGACCGGCCACAUUGGGACUGAGAUACGGCCCAGACUCCUGCGGGAGGCAGCAGUGGGGAAGAUUGCACAAUGGGCGGAAGCCUGAUGCAGCAACGCCGCGUGCGGGAUGACGGCCUUCGGGUUGUAAACCGCUUUCGCCUGUGACGAAGCGUGAGUGACGGUAAUGGGUAAAGAAGCACCGGCUAACUACGUG
rnacentral:rRNA from 1 species